UACGAAGGGGGCUAGCGUUGCUCGGAAUCACUGGGCGUAAAGCGCACGUAGGCUGCUCGUUAAGUCGAGGGUGAAAUCCUGGAGCUCAACUCCAGAACUGCCUUCGAUACUGGCGAGCUCGAGUCCGGGAGAGGUGAGUGGAACUGCGAGUGUAGAGGUGAAAUUCGUAGAUAUUCGCAAGAACACCAGUGGCGAAGGCGGCUCACUGGCCCGGUACUGACGCUGAGGUGCGAAAGCGUGGGGAGCAAACAGG
rnacentral:rRNA from 1 species